rnacentral:rRNA from 1 species
AGUGAACGCUGGCGGUAGGCCUAACACAUGCAAGUCGAACGGCAGCACAGUAAGAGCUUGCUCUUACGGGUGGCGAGUGGCGGACGGGUGAGGAAUACAUCGGAAUCUACUUUUUCGUGGGGGAUAACGUAGGGAAACUUACGCUAAUACCGCAUACGACCUACGGGUGAAAGCAGGGGAUCUUCGGACCUUGCGCGAUUGAAUGAGCCGAUGUCGGAUUAGCUAGUUGGCGGGGUAAAGGCCCACCAAGGCGACGAUCCGUAGCUGGUCUGAGAGGAUGAUCAGCCACACUGGAACUGAGACACGGCCCAGAGUCCUACGGGAGGCAGCAGUGGGGAAUAUUGGACAAUGGGCGCAAGCCUGAUCCAGCCAUACCGCGUGGGUGAAGAAGGCCUUCGGGUUGUAAAGCCCUUUUGUUGGGAAAGAAAAGCAGCAGGUUAAUACCACGCUGUUCUGACGGUACCCAAAGAAUAAGCACCGGCUAACUUCGUG